rnacentral:lncRNA from 1 species
AUGGUGCAGGAAUGGCCUUGGAGGAAGUGGCCAGUGCCCACGGGCUGUGCAGCAAGUGGCCAGUGCCUCUGGGGGCUGCUCACAUCCCCAGGGCCCACCCAGGACCCUCUGAGCCACCUUUGCCCUGGGAUCACAGUGUCAGAUACAUUGCCCGCAGUCUUCAGACACUGGAGAGACCAAGCAGAAAGCCCAAGUUUUAGAAGCCACAAGUCAGGAGGUAGAGACCUCACCAUGGCGCCCAUCUCCCCGCCUUCCCAGGGCAGCCACACAUGCCCCCAUGGGCAGAAGGGCCCUGUAGCCAGGCCUGGGAAGCACAGGGCCCGCCCAGAUGCCUACAAAAUGCUCACUCACUGGGCUCUUUGAUCCGCCCCACUGGGCAGGCCUGCAUCAGCAAUGAGGUUUCCAUGGAGACGGUGCAGAGGGAGACAGCCCCACCCCCAGUCCUACCCCGAGCAUCUUGUGUGUUCCGGGCAGAGCCCUGCUCGCUGCCCUUCCCAGCCUUCCUGGAGGAGGUGGCGCCAAGCCCCGCCCCCCUCUCCCCCGGCUCCUGGCUUACCCAAUCCCCCUCCGACGGAGCAGGGCUCCCUUUGGAAAUGGAAGGGGUCCCUCAGCCCAGCCCCUCCUGAGAAGGAAAGCUCACCAGGCUAGGUAUCUGCUCCCCUGGAUUUUCUGGAGUCCAUGUGCCAAACCACCAGAGAAGCGGCCCACGCUGGUGCCGGGCUGGCCCCAGGAGGUCCUGGACACCCGCUGCUCCGGGUCCAGGCCCAGGCCUGCUGCCUUUAUACCCAGACCUGGCCCAAGGUGCUGAAGACUAACUGCCAUCCACGGGCUGGGUGCCAGACAGGGGUGAGCUCUGAGUCAGAGUGGCUCACCUGUGUGCAUGUGUGGGGUGUGCCUGCUGCACGGCCCAGGAGUGCCAGCCACUGGAAGGGAGGGUCCUGUGGCCCAGGGAAUCGUCGGGCCUCAGGCCUGGCCUGUCCUGGCACACCAGGCAGGGAGGAGCUGAGAGCCUUGCUCUGAGCCCCAUACCUCCCUGCCUGGUCCUCUCAAGGGGCCUUUUCCUGGAUGACAUUCACAGCUUUCAUGAUCCCUUUGUUCUGCUGUGCUACCCGUGGAGAGGGUGGUUCAGACCACCAAGCAUCCAUCAGUGUGGCCUGGACCCACAGGCCGCUUAAGUGGUUCUCAGUACCUAUCAGGGGUGGUCCUACUCCCAGGCCACCCUCCCCUCCCUGUGCCUGGGGUUUCUCACUGGGAAAGGGAUGUCUUCACAGUCAUUCUCUCCCAGCAUCGCUGGAGUGAGGGCCACCUUCACUAUUUUUUUUUAAAUUCCUCCCAUACUUUUUUUUAUUNNNNNNNNNNNNNNNNNNNNNNNNNNNNNNNNNNNNNNNNNNNNNNNNNNNNNNNNNNNNNNNNNNNNNNNNNNNNNNNNNNNNNUUUUUUUUUUUUGGUCACAAGGCAUGUAGGAUCUUAGCUCCCGCCAGGGAUUGAAACCCCACCCUCUGCCUUGGAAGGUAAAAAGUCUUAACCACUAGACCACUGGGAAAGUCCCCCACCUCCACUUUCACGCUUGUAUUUUAAUUGGGGAAGGGGCAGUAAACCUCUAAGCCGGCAUGUCAGGUGGUGAUUAGGAUGAAAAGAAAACAAUAAUGAAGAGAAGGGGACCUGAGUGGAGGGGGCUCAGCAGCCAUAAAGGGGUUGAUCAGGAAGGCCUCCCUCAACAGGUGAUGUUUAAAUAAGGACCUGGAUCAGGUGAGCUAAGGAGCCUAUCAGAUACCUGGGCAGAGUUUCCAAAUAGAGAAGGGCAAAAGCAAGCUGCAGAGGUUGAUGAGGCUGGUGAGAGGAGGGCAGAGGGUGACGAGGCCCAUGGGCUAGGAAGAAAUGUAUCUGGUCUUAGGGUUCAGUUCAGUUCAGUCACUCAGUUGUGUCCGAAUCUUUGCAACCCCAUGAAU